GCGGCUUUAGCUCACUUGGGAGAGCGCCAGACUGAAGCAUUCAAAACUUCAGGAAUCUCGAUAUCUGGAGGCACUGUGUUCGAUCCACAGAAGCCGCA